rnacentral:rRNA from 1 species
UACAGGGGGGGCAAGCGUUGUUCGGAAUUACUGGGCGUAAAGGGGUAGUAGGCGGCCAACUAAGUCCGACGUGAAAUCCCAAGGCUUAACCUUGGAACUGCGUCGGAUACUGGAUGGCUUGAAUUCGGGAGAGGGAUGCAGAAUUCCAGGUGUAGCGGUGAAAUGCGUAGAUAUCAUUUGGAACGCCAAUGGUGAAAACAGGUAGCUGGGAGUGUGCUGACGCUGAGACACGAAAGCCAGGGGAGCGAACGGG